rnacentral:rRNA from 1 species
AACGAACGCUGGCGGCAGGCUUAACACAUGCAAGUCGAACGCCCCGCAAGGGGAGUGGCAGACGGGUGAGUAACACGUGGGAACCUUCCUCGUUGUACGGAACAACUCAGGGAAACUUGAGCUAAUACCGUAUACGUCCGAGAGGAGAAAGAUUUAUCGCAAUGAGACGGGUCCGCGUCGGAUUAGCUAGUUGGUGGGGUAACGGCCUACCAAGGCAACGAUCCGUAGCUGAUCUGAGAGGAUGAUCAGCCACACUGGGACUGAGACACGGCCCAGACUCCUACGGGAGGCAGCAGUGGGGAAUCUUGGACAAUGGGCGCAAGCCUGAUCCAGCCAUGCCGCGUGAGUGAAGAAGGCCUUCGGGUUGUAAAGCUCUUUUGUCAGGGACGAUAAUGACGGUACCUGAAGAAUAAGCCCCGGCAGACUUCGUGCCAGCAGCCGCGGUAA